rnacentral:rRNA from 1 species
UGCCAGCAGCCGCGGUAAUUCCAGCUCCAAUAGCGUAUAUUAAAGUUGUUGACAGUUAAAAAGCUCGUAGUUGAAUUUCGGGACUAAUAUGUCGGUCGUACUUUGUACGUACUAGCAUUAUUGGUUUCUCCCUUCUGACGAACCACGAUGUCAUUAAUUUGGUGUCGUGGGAAAUCAGGACUGUUACUUUGAAAAAUUAGAGUGUUUAAAGCAAGCUCGCGCUUGAAUACAUUAGCAUGGAAUAAUGAAAUAGGACGUUUGAUUCUAUUUUGUUGGGUUUCUAGGAUCGACGUAAUGAUUAAUAGGGAUAUUGGGGGCAUUAGUAUUCAAUUGUCAGAGGUGAAAUUCUUGGAUUUAUUGAAGACUAACUACUGCGAAAGCAUUUGCCAAGGAUGUUUUCAUUAAUCAAGAACGAAAGUUAGGGGGAUCGAAGACGAUCAGAUACCGUCGUAGUCUUAACCAUAAACUAUGCCGACUAGGGAUCGGAUGAUGUUAAUUUUUAUAAUGACUCAUUCGGCGCCUUACG